rnacentral:rRNA from 1 species
GACGAACGCUGGCGGCGUGCUUAACACAUGCAAGUCGAACGAAGUGGCGAACGGGUGAGUAACGCGUAAUCAACCUGCCCUUCAGAGGGGUACAACAGUUGGCAACGACUGCUAAUACCGCAUACUCAAGGCGGUGAUUGCGUCUGAUUAGCUAGUUGGAGGGGUAACGGCCCACCAAGGCGAUGAUCAGUAGCCGGGCUGAGAGGACUGACGGCCACAUUGGGCCAGAGCCACGGCCCAGAUGACUACGGGAGGCAGAACUUGGGAAUUUUCCGGAAUGGAAGAAAGUCGGCAGCAGCAACGCCGAGUGAGUGAUGACGGGCUUCGGGUCGGAAAGUUCUGUUAAUCGGGACGCAGUACCGGAAUAGAAAGCCACGGCUAACUACGUGCCAGCAGCCGCGGUAAUAC